rnacentral:rRNA from 1 species
UACGUAGGGUGCGAGCGUUGUCAGGAAUUGUUGGGCGUAAAGAGCUUGUAGGCGGUUUGUCGCGUCUGCCGUGAAAAUUCGAGGCUCAACCUCGAACUUGCGGUGGGUACGGGCAGACUAGAGUGUGGUAGGGGAGACUGGAAUUCCUGGUGUAGCGGUGAAAUGCGCAGAUAUCAGGAGGAACACCGAUGGCGAAGGCAGGUCUCUGGGCCACUACUGACGCUGAGAAGCGAAAGCAUGGGGAGCGAACAGG